GUGUGCUCCUGAGUCGUUGGCACAGUUCAGUGUGGAGAUGAGACCACUUGCAAGAGGCAGUUCCCUCCUCCGUCCCUCCUGUGGCUCUCAGGGACCAGACCCUGAUCGUUAUGCUUGGCAGCCAGCGCCUCUACAGGGAGCAAGCUUCCGGUUGUCGGCUCAUUUGUUUGGUGCAGAGGUGACAGGGCUUUCCAGAAAAGGAACAGACUGGGAGUAGAGCCUGGGUCGCAGACCUGCCAGCCCUGUGACUCGUGGGGCCUCUAGGGAUGGAAGCCUAGGUGCUGUGUGCACAAGGUCCUUUCUUUGUUGACCCUGUUGGCUUCCCGACCCUCUCUGCCACAUUUGGAGACUCCUGCCUUCCCUGCUGGAAUCCUGAGGGCGAGCCACUCCCCUCUUUCUUUCCUUCUGCCAUCCGGAGCGUAGGAUGUGGCUAUCCUCCGAAGUCCACGCUCUAUCGCACAAGCUCGCCCCCAGGUUUACUCGGAGAAAGGUGCCAUGGCAACCACAGCGACUCCAGGGAGCUGAAACUGCCUGACUUGGCCAUACUGACAAAGCAUGUCACCCACAGCCUGCCCUCUUGUAAGAAUGUCAGGAUAGAUCCCAGGCUGGUCCAGCGUCGAGAAGCAGACUGUCAGGGGAUGUUGAGCAAAUCACUUUCUCUGAGCCCCAAGGAUACUCCCCACCC
rnacentral:lncRNA from 1 species